rnacentral:rRNA from 1 species
AAGACCUUGCACUUUUGGAGCGGCCGAUGUCUGAUUAGCUAGUUGGUGGGGUAAUGGCCUACCAAAGCUUCGAUCAGUAGCUGGUCUGAGAGGACGGCCAGCCACACUGGGACUGAGACACGGCCCAGACUCCUACGGGAGGCAGCAGUGGGGAAUUUUGGACAAUGGGCGCAAGCCUGAUCCAGCCAUGCCGCGUGAGUGAAGAAGGCCUUCGGGUUGUAAAGCUCUUUCAGCCGGGAAGAAAAGGUUGCGACUAAUAAUCGCAAUCCAUGACGGUACCGAAAGAAGAAGCACCGGCUAACUACGUGCCAGCAGCCGCGGUAAUACGUAGGGUGCAAGCGUUAAUCGGAAUUACUGGGCGUAAAGCGUGCGCAGGUGGUUUUGUAAGUCAGAUGUGAAGUCCCCGGGCUUAACCUGGGAACU